UCGAUUUCGGCCCACAAGGAAACCCAGCCCGCUCCUGCACAUACUCUCCGGUCUACCCUCCAGAGAUUACUUCGCGCACGAGCACCACCCGUUCUAGGAGUGACUGUCAUCACUUCAACAUUCUCUCGCCGAUGGCGUCCUGCUGGCAGACUCGACUGUUGUCCUCACCCUGCACUACUACUGGUUCUGAGCUCCUGUUUUCGAUUUCGGCCCACAAGGAAACCCAGCCCGCUCCUGCACAUACUCUCCGGUCUACCCUCCAGAGAUUACUUCGCGCACGAGCACCACCCGUUCUAGGAGUGAACUGUCAUCACUUCAACAUUCUCUCGCCGAUGGCGUCCUGCUGGCAGACUCGACUGUUGUCCUCACCCUGCACUGCUACUGGUUCUGAGCUCCUGUUUUCGAUUUCGGCCCACAAGGAAACCCAGCCCGCUCCUGCACAUACUCUCCGGUCUACCCUCCAGAGAUUACUUCGCGCACGAGCACCACCCGUUCUAGGAGUGACUGUCAUCACUUCAACAUUCUCUCGCCGAUGGUGUCCUGCUGGCAGACUCGACUGUUGUCCUCACCCUGCACUACUACUGGUUCUGAGCUCCUGUUUUCGAUUUCGGCCCACAAGGAAACCCAGCCCGCUCCUGCACAUACUCUCCGGUCUACCCUCCAGAGAUUACUUCGCGCACGAGCACCACCCGUUCUAGGAGUGACUGUCAUCACUUCAACAUUCUCUCGCCGAUGGCGUCCUGCUGGCAGACUCGACUGUUGUCCUCACCCUGCACUGCUACUGGUUCUGAGCUCCUGUCUUCGAUUUCGGCCCACAAGGACACUCGGAUCGCUCGAGCACACACUCUCCGGUCUACGCUCCAGAGUAAAUUACUUCGAUCUCCACUCGGCCUGUGACCGACCAUGUUCUCUCGCCGAUGGCGUCCUGCUGGUAUACUGGACCUAUGGUGGAGCCUUUGUACUUGAUUAUGGUUGCGAGGGUGUUAUCGCCUGUGGCGCGAUAUAAUUGUUCCAGCACGCAUUUACAAGAGCAUUCCUGGCCUUCAAGAGCGACAAUCUUCAGCCCGAUCGUCCUGCCGCUUCCUCUGACCUCUGUAACCAUCGUACGCCUCCAUCAUGGCUGUGUCCUGCGCUGUGACGGCUGCGUGUUAAUGCUCUGAAGGACUGCUUGUCGCCGUCCCGCGACCGUCUAUCGGAUGUGCUUCUACAGUUAAUCUGUUGCCUUGUUUUUACACAGGCAUAUUUAAUGUUUCGUAUAGCAAGCUUUUCUGCUUUGAAAGAGUGGUACGUUGCUCAGCGGAUGGAUGGCGCUUCUAGCAAUUACGAUAAUACGAAGCGGAACAGUAAGGUCUGGUUACGUGGACACCACCCAGUUUUUCAGAAGGGUUGUUGAAGCCUUCAUGAGCUGAUCUGUAAAUUUUUGGUGGCGAGAGUAAUGGACAUUCCUUCACAUUGUGCACUUUCGUAGUAGUACGUUGAUGUGUGUGUGUGUGUGUGUGUGUGUGUGUGUGUGUGUGUGUGUGUGUUACCCUGUUGUGCGCGCGUACUGGUUUGUUCAUUUUUUAUGUGCCCACCUGUUCGUGCUCCUUUUGUUCGCCGCUAUUCGGCGCACUUCGAAUUCAUUGUAUUUCGGUAGCAUUUCCAGUCUCACCGUUGUAUCCACAAAGCCCGUUGAUGGUUCAUUUCCUUGCUUCAUCCCGGUUGAAAGCUGCCUGGUUUGAUGGCUCACUAUCGACCAUGGCAUCCACUUUUGGAUUGGUUGAACAACUCGUUUCUUUGGCUUUGUUUCUUUGGUUGAUCUCGGUACUCGUUUCAGCAUUCAGCGAAUUUGUUUAGGCAUCCUUCUCGUGUAAGAAGCCCUCGUUUCCGAUACAUUUUCGGUUCUUCCACGUCGCUCAUCACCGACCCAAAAUAUCAACAUGCCACUACAAAAGCACACAAUGCCAAUGAAUGGGAAAGGGGAGGGUAGUUACUCUCGCCAGCAAAAAUUUCCUGAUUAGCUCAUGAUCGUAAUGAUGACCAUUUUAAAAACUGGUUGGUGAUAAAUGUAGCCAUGCUCACUGUUCCUAGUUUUGAUGUGCCUGAAUCAUUAAAUGCGUUUAUGGAUGGGUGACUGUAUGGAUAAGAGCAUUCUCCAUGAAGCGGUGUGGUGCUUGCGCCGUGAGUUGUCUGCGUCACUUACCGGCCCCUAAAGCUGUGGUUCGUAAGAUAUGUGAACCGUGGAACCUCGCAGAAAUAUUUUGCCAUUGUAGACGCAGGCGUCGGAGCAGCCUUCGACGAUGCCGCGUAGCACGCAUCUCUACCUGGUCUAACAUUUGUAUUGCCUGUCGUUUGUUCAUCGGGCAGAGCUACCCACUUUCGCCGCUUCUUCACCGCGUAUACUGUGCCGCAUUGCCGCCGUGGUUUGCGAUUUGUGUGCAUAAUUAUCAUGUACGGCGCCAGGUCAGUAGUAACAGUGAACCGCCAUGGCGCCCUUGACGGGUCUGAUCUCGUUGCCUGAUGACUGUAGAUAUUACGCACAGUUUUCUCAUUUCGUGCUUGAAGUUCACCGCUUGAGCCAUUGUCGAACGACUGCUUCACAUUGGCUACAUUUAUUUCCCCUUAUGCCAAAUCAUGUGUAAACGCGUCUAGACAAAAAAAAAAAAAAAAAAAAGCACGAGCGCGCGCAAUGAAAUCUUCAAAAGAAAAUGUCCGCUUUAGUUGUAUUUUGUUUAAGCGACUAGUUUACCGGUUCCUCUUCUUUUUUUUUUACUGUACGCUGUGUUAAUAUUUACAUGUCUCUUCGAAUGAAUUUGAAUGCGUUUGCUUGGAAUAGUGUUUGAAUUUGAUCAUGCUUCCGCUGUUGUCCUAAUGCCGAUUUAAGGACGCACACCUUGAGUUAUUACUUUCAAUGUUAUCAGUAACCUCCAAUAGCCUUGAAAACUAAAGGUGAGCAAUGUCCUUGGAAAAUUCUUACCCGUACCGUUGUGAUGGGAAAGUCAAACCAUGCACGCAUGCGCGAUGCUGCUCAAUAUCGUACGCAUUUUUCUUGACCCCGAACAUGCACAAGGCUCUAUUGAGCCUUUCUGUAGGAAGUAUCUUUUUAUUUUCAUCAGUUGUAACGACAGUCCUGCGAUUACGCCACAGAAUACUCGCAAGCAGUGUGGAGAUUUGGACUUAUGUGCUGAAGGUUCUUUUUUUUUGUGUGUGUGUGUGUAACGCAACUGGUACAUGGACGCAGAGAAAGAACAAGACACACCCACACAGAACUCAAUAGUUUCUAAUACGACAGCGAUGCAUGACAUUACUGCACAUUGAGAGGCCUGUGAUAUUGGAGGAUGUGACGCGGUAUAUAGGAUCAUCGUGUCCAAAUGUUUUUGUCCCUUCUGUGCGUUUCGCACCCAACUGGGCAAUUUCGCAUACUUGCAUGCUUUCUCGUUUCCUAAAAACAAGAAUCAAGUUAACUUUCCUUUCAUCUCCAUGUGAAGGUGCUGUACAACGCUUGCUUGUUUCGGAUUGUUGUAAUAGCUUAAAGCUGUAAAACCUUUCAUGCAUAUGCAAAUAAACACGUAGGAAGUCUGUUAUUCCUUGGCUUAUGCUGUUUCGCUUUCGUUUGGUGUGUUGUACGAAAACCGUGUUUUGCAUUUUCAUGCGUCAAAGUAUCUUGAAGCUGAAAUUAUGUAUGCUAUGUAAAUCCCGGUAUGUAUUUGUGUGUUAGUCUACCAAUUCGUAAAUGCUUAUUCUCAUUCUGUAUAUUAAAUGUGUUGUAUGCUGGGCCGGUAUAUUGUAGCGAUGCGUUAUGCUUUAUUCUAUACUAGUCCACCGCUCACGGCAGGCUGAUCCCGUUGAUAACGUGAGCGGACGGUAGCUCUGGCCGCUGACCGAGCGCGAUAAGCGCGAAAAGGCAUUAGCAUCGGAAAGGCAUCGCUACAAAAUAGCGGCCCUGCCGUCUGCAGCAUGGGGAAUGAAGUCCCGUCAGGCGGCACUGAGUCGCUUUCAAUUUCAUUUGCUUGAGUCUCAUUUUGCUCCGGUUGUAUUGAACAUGCAUUGUAUUAAACUGCACGUUACGAAUCACCAGUCAAAAUAAAACUCCUUCCUGUUCUCGGUCUCACUAACUCCAUGUAGUGCGC